rnacentral:rRNA from 1 species
UGGGGAAUAUUGCGCAAUGGGGGGAACCCUGACGCAGCCAUGCCGCGUGAAUGAAGAAGGCCUUCGGGUUGUAAAGUUCUUUCGGUAUUGAGGAAGGUUGAUGUGUUAAUAGCACAUCAAAUUGACGUUAAAUACAGAAGAAGCACCGGCUAACUCCGUGCCAGCAGCCGCGGUAAUACGGAGGGUGCGAGCGUUAAUCGGAAUAACUGGGCGUAAAGGGCACGCAGGCGGUUAUUUAAGUGAGGUGUGAAAGCCCCGGGCUUAACCUGGGAAUUGCAUUUCAGACUGGGUAACUAGAGUACUUUAGGGAGGGGUAGAAUUCCACGUGUAGCGGUGAAAUGCGUAGAGAUGUGGAGGAAUACCGAAGGCGAAGGCAGCCCCUUGGGAAUGUACUGACGCUCAUGUGCGAAAGCGUGGGGAGCAAACAGGAUUAGAUACCCUGGUAGUCCACGCUGUAAACGCUGUCGAUUUGGGGGUUGGGGUUUAACUCUGGCGCCCGUAGCUAACGUGAUAAAUCGACCGCCUGGGGAGUGCGGCCGCAAGGUUA